AAAGACCUUAUGCUUUUGGAGCGGCCGAUGUCUGAUUAGCUAGUUGGUAGGGUAAUGGCUUACCAAGGCGACGAUCAGUAGUUGGUCUGAGAGGACGGCCAGCCACACUGGGACUGAGACACGGCCCAGACUCCUACGGGAGGCAGCAGUGGGGAAUUUUGGACAAUGGGCGCAAGCCUGAUCCAGCAAUGCCGCGUGAGUGAAGAAGGCCUUCGGGUUGUAAAGCUCUUUCAGUCGAAAAGAAAAAGUUGUGACUAAUAAUCAUAACUCAUGACGGUAUCAACAGAAGAAGCACCGGCUAACUACGUGCCAGCAGCCGCGGUAAUACGUAGGGUGCAAGCGUUAAUCGGAAUUACUGGGCGUAAAGGGUGCGCAGGCGGUUCUGUAAGUCAGAUGUGAAAUCCCCGGGCUUAACCUGGGAACU
rnacentral:rRNA from 1 species